CUACGGGUCGCACCAGUGGGGAAUAUUGGACAAUGGGGGAAACCCUGAUCCAGCAAUGCCGCGUGUGUGAAGAAGGCCUGCGGGUUGUAAAGCACUUUCGGUUGGGAGGACUGCUUCUAGCACUAAUAUUGUUGGAAGUUGACGUUACCUUCAGAAGAAGCACCGGCUAACUCCGUGCCAGCGGCCGCGGUAAUACGGAGGGUGCAAGCGUUAAUCGGAAUUACUGGGCGUAAAGCGCGCGUAGGCGGCUAGAUCAGUCGGGUGUGAAAGCCCCGGGCUUAACCUGGGAACUGCAUCCGAUACUGUCUAGCUUGAGUACAUGAGAGGAGAUUGGAAUUCCACAUGUAGCGGUGAAAUGCGUAGAUAUGUGGAGGAACACCAAUGACGAAGGCAGCUCUCUGGCCUGAUACUGACGCUGAUGUGCGAAAGCGUGGGGAGCAAACAGGAUUAGAUACCCUUGUAGUC
rnacentral:rRNA from 1 species